GAUUAGAUACCGUCGUAGUCUUAACUAUAAACUAUGCCGACCAGGGAUAUGAGUUGUUAUGAAUGACUUUUAGUUAUUCAAUUUCCUCUUGUGGACCUUGUGAGAAAUCAUAAGUUUUUGGGUUCUGGGGGGAGUAUGGUCGCAAGGCUGAAACUUAAAGGAAUUGACGGAGGGGCACCACCAGGAGUGGAGCGUGCGGCUUAAUUUGACUCAACACGGGAAAACUUACCAGGUCCAGACAUUAGAAGGAUUGACAGAUUGAUAGCUCUUUCAUGAUUUAAUGGGUGGUGGUGCAUGGCCGUUCUUAGUUGGUGGAGUGAUUUGUCUGGUUAAUUCCGAUAACGAACGAGACCUUUACCAUACUAAAUAGUUUGAUUUAUUCAUUUAUGAAUAGAUUUAUUUUUAUUAAACUUCUUAGAGGGACUAUUGGUUCUUAAACCAAAGGAAGUAAAGGCGAUAACAGGUCUGUGAUGCCCUUAGAUGUUCUGGGCUGCACGCGCGCUACAAUGAUAAACUCAACGAGUAUUUAAUAUUUAUUUAUUAUAUUGCUGUAUUGGAAGGUAUGGCUAAUCUUAAACGUUUAUCGUGCUUGGGAUAGAUGAUUGCAAUUAUUUAUCUUGAACCAGGAAUUCCUAGUAAUCGUAUAUCAUCAGUGUGCGAUGAUUACGUCCCUGCCCCUUGUACACACCGCCCGUCGCUGCUACCGAUUGGAUGAUCCGGUGAAAUCCUCGGAUAAUGAUAAAUACUUUACUUUGUAAAGUUUAUCGUUAGAAGUUGAUUAAACCUUAUCAUCUAGAGGAAGCAAAAGUCGUAACAAGGUUUCCGUAGGUGAACCUGCAGAAGGAUCA
rnacentral:rRNA from 1 species